UACAGAGGGUGCGAGCGUUAAUCGGAAUUACUGGGCGUAAAGCGCGCGUAGGCGGCUUUGCAAGUCGGGUGUGAAAUCCCCAGGCUUAACCUGGGAACUGCAUUCGAGACUGCAUUGCUAGAGUAUGGUAGAGGGUGGUGGAAUUUCCUGUGUAGCGGUGAAAUGCGUAGAUAUAGGAAGGAACACCAGUGGCGAAGGCGACCACCUGGACUGAUACUGACACUGAGGUGCGAAAGCGUGGGGAGCAAACAGG
rnacentral:rRNA from 1 species